rnacentral:tRNA from 1 species
GAUGGGCUGGUGUAAUUGGUAACAUAGCUAGUUAGCUGCUAGCGGUUCUGGAUUCGAUUCCCAGGCUCGUCA